AAGGCUGCUGUGAUGACUGCAUAGUUCAGCAGAUGACCUGUGGUGAACAAAAUUACUGUCUUUCGCUUCCAGCUGAUGCAGCCUC
ensembl:snoRNA